UACGAAGGGGGCUAGCGUUGUUCGGAUUUACUGGGCGUAAAGCGCACGUAGGCGGAUUGUUAAGUCAGGGGUGAAAUCCUGGAGCUCAACUCCAGAACUGCCUUUGAUACUGGCAAUCUUGAGUCCGGAAGAGGUGAGUGGAACUCCUAGUGUAGAGGUGGAAUUCGUAGAUAUUAGGAAGAACACCAGUGGCGAAGGCGGCUCACUGGUCCGGUACUGACGCUGAGGUGCGAAAGCGUGGGUAGCAAACAGG
rnacentral:rRNA from 1 species